AACCCAGACUCCUACGGGAGGCAGCAGUGGGGAAUAUUGCACAAUGGGGGAAACCCUGAUGCAGCGACGCCGCGUGAAGGAAGAAGUCUUUCGGUAUGUAAAGCUCUAUCAGCAGGGAAGAAGAUGACGGUACCUGACCAAGAAGCCCCGGCUAACUACGUGCCAGCAGCCGCGGUAAUACGUAGGGGGCAAGCGUUAUCCGGAUUUACUGGGUGUAAAGGGAGCGCAGACGGCAGUGCAAGUCUGGAGUGAAAGCCCGGGGCCCAACCCCGGAACUGCUCUGGAAACUGUGCGGCUAGGGUACUGGAGGGGCAGGCGGAAUUCCUAGUGUAGCGGUGAAAUGCGUAGAUAUUAGGAGGAACACCAGUGGCGAAGGCGGCCUGCUGGACAGUAACUGACGUUGAGGCUCGAAAGCGUGGGGAGCAAACAGGAUUAGAUACCCUCGUA
rnacentral:rRNA from 1 species